rnacentral:rRNA from 1 species
AUGCAAUUUGGCACCGCAAGCACCGGCCUCCGGCAUCCUCUCCUCCCCUUCAUUUUUUUCUUUUUCAGAUUUCACUUGGGCACAACACUUCAGUUUGCUUUGGGCAUCAGUGCGGUGCGGCUGGAUGUCCAGUCCAUCGGCGAGCGUGCUUGCAUUCCGAUGGCACGAGGCUCGUGGUCAGACAUGCAGUCCGUUGGCACCGGCGAGUUCAUUUCGGUGCUCGUCGCCAUAGUUCGUUGCUUUUUUUGCAGUCCCCCUGGCCGUGCAGUUUACUCAAAGUGGUUCGCUUUGUGCUUCGUUGGUGUUUUGUUUGCUUCAAUGUGCAGUUUACUCAAGAAGAAGUGCGCCCAAUAA